rnacentral:tRNA from 1 species
GCCUGGUUAGCUCAGUGGUUGAGCAUCUGCCUUUGGCUCAGGGUGUGAUCCCAGGGGUCCUGGGAUGGAGUCCCACAUCGGGCU